rnacentral:rRNA from 1 species
CCCUUAGAUGUUCUGGGCCGCACGCGUGCUACACUGAGUGGAUCAGCGGGUCAGGUUGCGCGAAAGUGUUUCCUAAUCUUUAAAUCCGCUCGUGAUGGGGAUUGACGGUUGCAAUUUUCCGUCAUGAACGAGGAAUACCUUGUAAGCGCGGGUCAUCAUCCCGCGCUGAAUACGUCCCUGCCCUUUGUACACACCGCCCGUCGCUCCUACCGAUUGAGUGGUCCGGUGAGGCUUUGGGAUCUGAGCGGAAAGAGCGUUUCGCUGUUUCUGCCCGGAAAACUCAGUCGAACCUUAUCAUUUAGAGAAAGGAGAAGUCGUAACA